ACUCCACUAAGAGAAGAUGAUUUCCAUAUCUAAUCAAAGUGAAUUUAUCUUGUAAGAUGAGCAUGGGGGCAGCAACAAAAAAAAUUCUAGAAUGCAAAUCACGUAUUUCCAUUCUUGGAAAUAAUUAACGUGACUUUCAAUUUGAGGCAGCAUUCACGUAUAGUUAUGGAAAAGUCAUAUCAUUCUCCUGACCUUAAUUUAGAGGAAAUCUUCUGUACAAAUAAAGGUGGCAAGCAAUCGUGGAGAACAUCGUACGAGUUCCUUCACCGCUGCGAUCUUGUUAUUCCGUUUUAUCGCAUUGUUAAUUCGGGAUUUCUUCAAAAUGAAGUAAGGUGGAAGACGAGUAGUUGUUGGCAUAUGAGAUUGGUGAAGCUCAAGAGCUAAGUUAUGUUUAAAUUGACAAGCGACAAGGUACAGAUACUCGAUUUGGUGAUCCUCCAGCUUAGGAUUUCCACUCAGCUGUCUUGGAGAGCUCCAUUGUUACGGAGCCUAGACUUUUGGUACAGAUCUUUUGAUGUAUAUAUAUGUUUACCCAGGGGUACGGCGGGGCCCUAUCCCGUCAUAUUUCACAAUCGAUACUCUUAGAGGUCUGUAGACAUAUGUGUGGGUUAUGUAUAAAUUUUGUUCAGUUGUGUCUAUAUGGCUUGCGUAUGGUAUU